GACGAACGCUGGCGGCAUGCCUAACACAUGCAAGUCGAACGAACCCUUCGGGUCUUUUCGCGCCCGGCUGUGUCACGCGUCGGGACCUGCCUUUUGGUUCGCCUUCCCUUAAAGCUGUUUUAGCUAAUGCCAGCUGAUGUUUUUGCACCAAAGUUUUAUCGCCUUUAGAUGGGCGUGCGUUGGAUUAGCUUUUUUGUGGGUUAUAGGCAUACCAUCGCCACGUUGCAUAGUUGGUAUGAGAGGAGGUUCACCGACACUGGGAGUGAGACACGGCCCAGACUCCUACGGGAGGGAGGAGAGGGGAAUAGAGGACAAUGGGGGAAAGGCUGAACCAGCAAUGACGCGAGAGUGAUGAAGGCAUUAGGGUAGUAAAGCUCUUUUAACCGAGAUGAUAAUGACAGUAUCGGGAGAAUAAGCACCGGCUAACUACGUG
rnacentral:rRNA from 1 species